rnacentral:rRNA from 1 species
UGCUUACCAUGCAGUCGAACGAUGAAGCCCUUCGGGGUGGAUUAGUGGCGAACGGGUGAGUAACACGUGGGCAAUCUGCCCUGCACUCUGGGACAAGCCCUGGAAACGGGGUCUAAUACCGGAUAUGACUGUCCACCGCAUGGUGGAUGGUGUAAAGCUCCGGCGGUGCAGGAUGAGCCCGCGGCCUAUCAGCUAGUUGGUGAGGUAGUGGCUCACCAAGGCGACGACGGGUAGCCGGCCUGAGAGGGCGACCGGCCACACUGGGACUGAGACACGGCCCAGACUCCUACGGGAGGCAGCAGUGGGGAAUAUUGCACAAUGGGCGAAAGCCUGAUGCAGCGACGCCGCGUGAGGGAUGACGGCCUUCGGGUUGUAAACCUCUUUCAGCAGGGAAGAAGCGAAAGUGACGGUACCUGCAGAAGAAGCGCCGGCUAACUACGUGCCAGCAGCCGCGGUAAUACGUAGGGCGCAAGCGUUGUCCGGAAUUAUUGGGCGUAAAGAGCUCGUAGGCGGCUUGUCACGUCGGUUGUGAAAGCCCGGGGCUUAACCCCGGGUCUGCAGUCGAUACGGGCAGGCUAGAGUUCGGUAGGGGAGAUCGGAAUUCCUGGUGUAGCGGUGAAAUGCGCAGAUAUCAGGAGGAACACCGGUGGCGAAGGCGGAUCUCUGGGCCGAUACUGACGCUGAGGAGCGAAAGCGUGGGGAGCGAACAGGAUUAGAUACCCUGGUAGUCCACGCCGUAAACGGUGGGCACUAGGUGUGGGCAACAUUCCACGUUGUCCGUGCCGCAGCUAACGCAUUAAGUGCCCCGCCUGGGGAGUACGGCCGCAAGGCUAAAACUCAAAGGAAUUGAC